GGCUGGUCAGAGUGCAGUUAUGUUUACAGCUAAUUAAUCACAACCUGCCACAGAUUUUUUUGUUCCUUCUCCAUUCCCACUGCUUCACUUGAUGAGCCUCAU
ensembl:misc_RNA Y_RNA Y RNA